rnacentral:ncRNA from 1 species
CUGCACUCUGGAGAAUCCCACGAAGGGGUGGGUGCCGAAGGUGCAAAGCGCAUUGCGCGAAUCUCUCAGGCGAAAGGACAGAGAAU